CACUUAAGGAAUUCCCGCUGAACAGAAAUCAGCCAAUCAGCAUCCACUCUAAUCUGCCCAGCAACAGCCGGCCCUGUAAGAGAUCUCAGCACCACUAGAGAGCCAGAAAAAAUUCACUUUUCAGAAAAACAAGGAUCACAAAUGAGGUGAACACAGGCCACCUCAUUCAGGAGGAGACGGAAUGGAGAGGGGUUCAUACAUAUGUGUCGCUCUCUGCGUUUAAGUCUAUAGAAGUCAUCCCAAUGAGAAUCACAUCAAUGCUGUCAUUGGAAUGAAUGAAGAAUGAAGGAAUGAAGAAGUGAAUUCCAAACACAGACAUAGCACAAUAAAAGC